UGAACUAGAUCCCUUAUUGAGAAGAAGUAUGUCUUAAACUCAACUGCAGCAAUCAUUGGAAGAUGCAGAAGAUUUAGGCUGGGAUAUUGGUCAUAGAGGUACUAAGUCCAGUCAGCAGAAGAUUGAGAGUCCAUUGCCAAGCUAUGACCAGCAGAAAAUGUUGGCCAAUGUGGAGAAUGGUUUGGGAAGCUUCAAUCCCAGUGUGAGAUACGACUCCAUUAUUUGUCAGCAGGAGUCUUAAGAUAAGGGAUCGAUUGUGGCAAACCAUGGAAAAAAGGCAGUUUAAGAUAAACCUCUAUCCAGAAUCCUUAAGAGAAGAAUCUCACCUGAAAGCAAGAGUGCUGAGCGUUUUGGGAUAGACUGCUGUAAACCCUAUGAAUGAUGGUCAGGGUUAGAUCUAGGGUAGUGCUAGUGUAGAUCCCAAGACAAGCUGGUGACUUUCAUCUGACAGAAAGUGUGCAAAAUGUUUAGAGGGAUCAAGUGCAGUCAACCCAAGAAUUGAUGGGUUGGACUGUGUUCAUUCUCAUGAGAGAAGCAGACAGUUACCUACCAGCAAAAGUUCAGGGAUUGACUGUGGCCAAUCCAAGACAUGCUGAACACAUCCUGUGAAUCAUCUGAGCUGUCUUGAUUUAUGGAAAGAAGGAAGUUGGGCAACACAUCAAAAUAAAUUCAUGUUAUGGAUCAUCAGAAAUGAAAGGAGAGACGUUUAUUGUUGAAGGAGAUAUAGAACUCUAUUUUGAACUAGUGUGAAGGAUUUGUGACCUUUUAUUAUGGAUCUGUGACCUACAUAUAGUGUGAAAAAUUGGUGACUGUAUGAAGGAUCUGUGACCUUGUGAAGGACCUUGACCUUUUGUGAAGUAUAUCUGUGACCUUAUGAAAAGGUUCUGCUGCCUUGUGUUAAGGAUAUGUAACCUUGUUUGAAGGAUCUGUGACCUUGUGUGAAAGAUCUGUGACCUUAUGUAAAGGAUAUGUGAUUUUACAUGAAGGAUCUGUGACCUUGUGUGAAGGAUCUGUGACCUUAUGUGAAGGAUCUGUGACCUUGUAUGAAAGAUCUGUGACCUUGUGCGAAGAUCUUGUUUGAAGGAUCUGUGACCUUUUGAGAAGGAUAUUACAUUUUCCGGUCUUUGUUCCUUCCUUUCUUUUGUUCAUGUUUUGAACCAAAACACGUAUGUGCUAUUAUCACCCCCAGCAGUUAAUUUCUUUGUUACACCAGUUGACGUAUUGACCAGUUUAUAGUUCUAUCAAAUGAAUGCGAUGUCUUGCAUUUAUCCUUAGAUUUCCAUUAUUUUUUUGUUGGACACAUGUGUGACUUUUUAUCCAUGUUUUUUCCCUGGGAAGUUUUUAAUGUCAGUGAUUAUACUCUAGCCUUUGAUGUUUAAUGCUGUUUGGAAAGUUUAUGAUGAGUGCAGUAUAACAAUUUUUGUGUUAUGUAGUAUUAGCAAAAAUUAAUUGCCCUAACAACAUGUAAACAAUGUUACGGAAAUGUCUUGUUACUAAGUUUUAGUUAUUUAGGCUACAGCCAAAAUUUUUUUCAGAAUAUAUUGCAUGGGCAAACAUUCGAUUAUUAAAGGGGUAUUAUUAAAUGGUCACUUUCUAGUGCACA